UAUAACUUAUUAACUGUUAACUUUUAACUUGUCGAUAUUGUGUCCUCUUAACUUAAAUUAACUUGAGUUAAUUAUUUUCAUUAUAACUUGCCCACAUUUGUUGAAUAAUAUGCUGCAGCUUCCUAAGAGCAAUGCAUGAAGUUCCUAGUUAUAUUGUGGGACAAUAAGUCUUACCGCUGAUAGUAGUGAUUUUGACACAAUUGUAGGGGGAGGGGAUUAGAUCCAUGACACAAAAAAAAAUAAAUGAAAAGUUUUUUGUAUCCUCUUGCGUAGAUAGCUUAUUAAGUUUUAUUCUUGUUAUUUUUUAGGACUUUUAUAGUUAAUUAAAUGUAAAUAAUAAUUGCCAUAAAUGUGGAUUGGAAUGUCUACCAUGGCACUAUCUCAAUUGGCGUUAAACCACUACCGACCACCGAAUCCUAAUAAGCUCUGAUACUAGGUAGGAACUAAUUUACUAAUGUAUGUACCUAAGUAGUUACCUAUGGGAAUAAGAAAAACGUAAUUUUUCAUUCUAAAUUUCUAAAUGUGUACGAAUUAUUAUUUAUUAACACAUUUAUAAUUUAUAAUAAUUAGCAGGCUGUAUAAAUUAUUUUAAAAAAAUAGUAAAAGUGUGUUGCGUGAUUUCAAUAGGUAUGUAUGCACAUGCGAUGAUACAAAAUGCAAAUAUUGUAUCCGUGAAUAUAGUUUUUUAUUAAGUUUAAAUAAUACGCACCGGCUACUCCACGCUUAUUAUCUACAAAAACGGGAACUGUAUGCUAUCGCUAUGCGUAUUGUUAUAUCCAUGUCUGAUACUUUGAUGUAGAUAAUAGAUAUUAUACCUAUAUGAAUAUUGUAUGUGAUUGUAUCGGGUAUAAGUACGUAAUAAAUUAUUUUAUACUUA